UACGGGGGGGCAAGGCGUUGUUCGGAAUUACUGGGCGUAAGGGCGCGUAGGCGGCCUACUAAGUCGGACGUGAAAGUCCCUCGGCUCAACCGAGGAACUGCGUUCCGAUACUGGCAGGCUGGAAUCCGGGAGAGGGAUGUGGAAUUCCAGGUGUAGCGGUGAAAAUGCGUAGAUAUCUGGAGGAACACCGGUGGCGAAGGCGGCAUCCUGGACCGGUAUUGACGCUGAGGC
rnacentral:rRNA from 1 species